GAAGCUGAACAGAUGGAGAGCAAAAGCAGGCAAGCAGCCACCACCACCUACCCAUUGCACUCUGGGAAGCUCAGAUCAUGCAGAACUGUGGUUAGUGCCAAUCAUAGCUUGGUGUGAUGUCAGAGUUGAGCCUCACUGAGAUGAGGGGCCCUUUCCUGUGCAGGGCAAGGCAAGGAGACAGGCAGCUCCGUAGCUUACAUCAGGAGCUGAGGAGGUGAGAUAAGGCAGCUAAGAGGCUGGGGUGGCUGGGACUGGGUUCUGAUCUCCACUUGGCAAUGACGCUCACAGUGCUCCCCCCUGGUUUCAAGGGAGUCCCAGUCUUUCAUUCUUGCUGCCCUGUCUCACAGGGUUAGUGGCAAGAACCAAGAAGGAAACUUUCCCAAGCACUUUUAGAAUGUAAAAAGAGCCUGCUGGAUCAGGCCAAAUGGGCCCAUUUAGUCCAGCACUCUGUUCUCACAGUGACCAACUAGAUGCCUGAAUGGGAAACACUGUUUCCCCUCCUGUGGUUUCGAGUGUAGCAGGAACCCCCCACCCCAAUCAUUCAGUUUGUACAAACUUCACACACUCACACUCACACACUACAUAUGCCACACUUCUGUUAUAAAGUCAUAGAAAAAUCAACCAUACAUCGGAUUUGCACUGUUCCAUUUUUUUUUACUCCAUAUGACAAGGACUAUCAAAGGGGGGUGGCUUGGUUCUGGUCAGCCAUAAUCCCUUCACCAUCCCAGCACAUCCACAGAAGCCCUGCCCAGUUGCUAUGCCAACCCUGAUGGUCCUAGACAGAAGACCAUCAAGAUCACAAAGAACUUGCAUAUGGGAGUGGAUUCAGCAUGGACUGCCAACUCCCCUUUGUCUCCUGGAAGUGACUCAUGGGGAGGGGGAAAGGAGGAACCAGCCAGGUGACAGGACACUCAGGUUACCACCACAACUCCUCCCUCAACCCCUCCUUUCUGUAAUGUAUGCAUGAUGUUUCUGGGGGUGGGCUUGACCUAGAGGAUGGGAAUUUCAAAAGUUUUUAUAAGGUCUUGCACACCAUCUUUCUGGGUCUUUCCUCUCUCUCGCAAGUGAGGGGAACACCCUGUUGCAACAGUUCAAUAAAGGCCAAGCCUACAGGCUGCUGUUUUGCUCCAAGUUAUCCUGGUUGGUGUCUUUAUUUUGUCCAAGGGAGCCCUCGGAUUUUUCGGGUAACACGAGCAACUGGCAUUCAGAAGCACUGCAGACUUUGGGAGAAAUAAGAGGAUGGAGACAUAUGUGGGAUAAGUGCCAUGGUUCCUCCUUAGACCUCUCCUUCUGCCUCUUUCCACACCUGUAGUUCUGCAAUCAAGGUCCAGCUCUGUCUAGCAAAGAGGCAACAAGGCUUCCUUCUGUUGACACAAAUAGCCCCAGCUAAAAUUCAAAGGCUGUGUGUGUCUGUUGUGCUUUGUGCUCUUUCACUGCUUCAUAUUUAAUCCUCCCUUCUUCAGGUAAAACAGAGUGGCUUUGUCAGGUUUCCUGCUGGCCGAUCAAAUCCCAC